AACGAACGCUGGCGGCAGGCUUAACACAUGCAAGUCGAGCGCCCCGCAAGGGGAGCGGCAGACGGGUGAGUAACGCGUGGGAAUCUACCCAUCUCUACGGAAUAACGCAUGGAAACGUGUGCUAAUACCGUAUACGUCCUUCGGGAGAAAGAUUUAUCGGAGAUGGAUGAGCCCGCGUUGGACUAGCUAGUUGGUGGGGUAAAGGCCUACCAAGGCGACGAUCCAUAGCUGGUCUGAGAGGAUGAUCAGCCACACUGGGACUGAGACACGGCCCUGACUCCUACGGGAGGCAGCAGUGGGGAAUAUUGGACAAUGGGCGCAAGCCUGAUCCAGCCAUGCCGCGUGAGUGAUGAAGGCCCUAGGGUUGUAAAGCUCUUUCACCGGUGAAGAUAAUGACGGUAACCGGAGAAGAAGCCCCGGCUAACUUCGUGCCAGCCGCCGCAGUAAGAC
rnacentral:rRNA from 1 species